CCGGCGCACGGUGAGUAACGCGUAUGCAACUUACCUAUCAGGAGGGGAUAACCCGGCGAAAGUCGGACUAAUACCGCAUAAAGCAGGGAUCCCGCAUGGGAAUAUUUGCUAAAGAUUCAUCGCUGAUAGAUAGGCAUGCGUUCCAUUAGGCAGUUGGCGGGGUAACGGCCCACCAAACCGACGAUGGAUAGGGGUUCUGAGAGGAAGGUCCCCCACAUUGGUACUGAGACACGGACCAA
rnacentral:rRNA from 1 species